rnacentral:rRNA from 1 species
UACGUAGGGGGCAAGCGUUGUCCGGAUUUAUUGGGCGUAAAGAGCUCGUAGGUGGUUCGGUAAGUCGGAUGUGAAAUCUUCCAGGCUCAACCUGGAGGGGUCAUUCGAUACUGCCGUGACUAGAGUUCGGUAGGGGAGUGUGGAAUUCCUGGUGUAGCGGUGAAAUGCGCAGAUAUCAGGAGGAACACCGAUAGCGAAGGCAGCUCGCUGGGACGGUACUGACGCUAAGGCGCGAAAGCGUGGGGAGCGAACAGG